UUCGCAAUGCCCGAAAGGGUGACGAAGCGACGCCGCGUGGGUGAGGAAGGCCUUCGGGUUGUAAAGCCCUGUCAGGAGUUAAGAAAUGUAGAUUCGCUAAUAUCGGGUCUAUUUGACAAAGGCUCCAAAGGAAGCCACGGCUAACUCUGUGCCAGCAGCCGCGGUAAUACAGAGGUGGCAAGCGUUGUUCGGAAUUAUUGGGCGUAAAGAGCACGUAGGUGGAUUUGUAAGUCAGAUGUGAAAGCCUUCUGUUCAACGGAAGAAUUGCAUCUGAAACUACAAACCUUGAGUGUAGGAGGGGAGAAUGGAACUUCUGGUGGAGCGGUGAAAUGCGUAGAUAUCAGAAGGAACGCCGGCGGCGAAAGCGAUUCUCUGGCCUAUUACUGACACUCAGUGUGCGAAAGCUAGGGGAGCAAACGGGAUUAGAUACCCCGGUAGUCCUAGCCGUAAACGAUGGGCACUAAGUAGAGGGGUUUU
rnacentral:rRNA from 1 species